AAGAGAAUAGAGAAUACGUGAAAUAACUUCUUUAUUGAAACUUUGUGGUAACAAGAUGCCUCCGAAGUAAACGUACACAAACAACUUGAGGAACUCGCUUUAGAUAAAAUAUUUCUGAGCCAAAAAGUAAAUAUACUCUAUCUGUUCUUUUAACUUCUCUGUUUCAAUACUUACUCAUAACGGUAGACAAAGAUACUGCCCCGUCUCAAUACUCGCUCAAUGAAUCGUGAAAACCCAAUGUGACAUGCGACAGCUUCAACAAUGACUAGGUUGAGGGCAACAAAUUCAAGAGGUCAAAAAGGUGUUAACGAUUGCUUUUCAGGAAACCCACUUGAGAGCAUGGAAAAAAUUGCCUAAUGGUUCUGAGGGUUCUAAACCAUAACUACUUCUGUUUUUAACUUUUUUUUCGCGACUGUCAUUGGAUAAUUUUUUUUCUACGUCUGUAAAAGUCCUUCUUUGGUACCAAUGACUAUAGGGGAAGUUUUACAUGACAAUCAUAUCUCUAAACAAUAUCUGUAGUCAUAGUUUGGACAACAAGACCCCAAAGAGUUUUCUGAGGCACGUUUACUCAGACCUCCGAUGCAACAAUUGUUAGAACACAAGACCAAUAGGCUGAUUGAAUACUCUGAUGUUCUUAAGAGCAAUAGUACAUGACAGUGUUUGUGACAUGGCAAUGUUUUGUGAAUCAGUUAUGAACACAUUUGUCCCCAGAAAACGGUUGGGGACAACUUCUCUAGCCAUUUGUACUCAACAGCAUAACAUUUUUAUAAUAAAUUUCUGUAACAUGUCUACAAAACCUGUCCACAAACAGUAACGUGUAACUGAACUUACAGAUUCAGAGAAAAACAAAAGCUUGGCAGCAGUAGUGGCGACUGCAGAAGUUCGAAGACAAGAUUUGAAGAUUUAACACGGUAUAUGCAGACGAUUUCAAAUAAAAACAAUAUGAAUGUCUCUGUACAAACAUCACAGCAUAACAAAAUAAUGCAAAUAAUUAUGAUAGUAAUAUAAUAUAAAAAAUAAUAUUUAUGAGAAUUAGAAAAUAUCGUACAAAAUGUUGCAGGGUGGGUUAGGUGAAAAAGUUGCCACCGAGUAAUACUUCACUUUCAUCUCAUAGGAUUUUAUGUCAUCACGAACUUGUAUUACUGGACUGCUGGCAGAAGAUUUUAUUUUCCAGUUUACUACUAAAACGAGGCACGAGACUUCCGGUUUAGUCACAUUCUUUGUUUAGGCUCGCCGAAACUAACGCGGAGAACUUCGCAAGAAGCAAAGCGUUGGUCUUGGCAGACAGACCACCUAUACACAUCUAUGAUGUUACUGCCUCAUAAACUAUAGUCCGACAUCUGGUAUGAAUUAAUGUUAUGGCUUGCUGCUCGCAAACUCACAAACCAUAACCGUGGAAUUGUUCACGAUCCUAAACCUGACUAACGAUUUCUAACACCCAGAAAUGACUCAUGGCUCUUGUACGAGCUGAGUGGUCUCUCGAACUCGGUCCUCGAGCCUCAUUUCUCACGAGUCUAUUUCCUCUGUGACAAAUAUCCUUUGAUAUCAGGUGGUCAGAUAAUAUUUCUAAAGGGCAAGGUUCACAGUGAAGUCUUCUUUGGUUGGUGUUAGCAAAUCGUCCAUAUCUCUACAGUAAAUAUUAAUAUCACGAGACUAAUUAGGACAGUAAUGGCUGUCAAGAGAGAGAGAACAGAGAACACCGUUAUAAACGUGAAAAAAAUAACCAAAACUUAUAUCGUCUUUGUAAGAACUACAUUGUUACAAUUCACAGUUCCUUCAUGGAAUAAUUGUUUCUGCUGUUCUAGACCUGCCCUUGUUUCCUUGGUGCUGAGAUGAGACGAUACUUCAGAUUCGGAACGAUGACCAUUCAGAUAUUCUUAAAAUAUCUUCCGUUCCCUGUCACCUGAGUACUUGAUCAGACGACCAACCACUGGCGUGACAGCAUGCUACUUCCUCGUUCUCAGAGUGACAGGUCAACAGGACAUGUGUUAUGGUGGUUUGGAAUCAUUCGAGAGAAACAUUUGUGCUUUUUGUGAUUGGAACUACCAAGCUGCCUGAGAUGCUUUUCUGGACAGAAUUGGCGUACUGCUGCCUUGCAAGAUAUCUACUUAUUUCUUCGUGGAGUCAGCUACAACCAAGACGCAGAAAAACAAACAUGGUCAUUUUUAUGUGGCUCCACACAUUAUUUCCUGAAUGAACCACCUCAUUUCAUCCUGUUUCUGAACUUUGGACUGAGUCAUCGUCUCCUGAAGACAAGGUGGUCAGCGAUUAGACAGCGCCCUCUGGAGCAGCAUGCAUGACCUACAAGCACUGACGAUGCAUGGCCAGUGAAGUGUGACAUGUCCGUCUCUGGACUUCCUGCCAAAGUUGGAUUACGAUUCAAGUACUUCGUGAGGUUGAAGGGCAUCCCUCUACUUGCUGAUGCUGUAUGACAAUCAAGCCUGAACAAAAAAUGAGGGGUACCUGUUGGAUAAUGGUUAAUGAAAUGAGGAAGCCAAAGCCACAAAAGGUGAUAUCUACCUUUUCUGCGACAAAUGUAAAGAUUUCCCUGCGAGAAGUGUUUCUUUUAUGCGAGGACAAUGACAAGACAUGCAUCUAUCAGGCACUAUAAACAACAAUUUUGUGUUACUUAUAUUGCUGUAUAUUUGAUACUGAGUGAAAUAUAUCUGUUAUGUAUAUUUCGUUAAGAAGGGGACAUUCCUUUAACAAGCUUUAGGGACCUGAACAAGUCACAACCUUAUCAAUCCCUGUCAAUAAGACAAUCUUUAGAAAAAAACUGUUAAGAAGUUGGAGUUAAAAUUUUCGAUACAUAAAUAAUUUUGUCAUUGUCUUCAAUAUCAUUUUGUACCCGUGGCCACUGAUAAGUAAGGGGAGGCCAUCUGUUAAAUAAUUGCUGUAAGCUUACACUGUGAGAAUCAGCUUCAUCAUUGAAAUAUUUGGUACAGAUUGUUUAACAUCUUGUUGAAGUUUAUGUAUUAAAGCAAGCUUUUAAAUGAGUUGUGGUACAGCAUGUGAGAAGAUAACUUUCAGUUUUAACAUGAUUUAUUUUUAUUUCAUGAUUAACUAUAAUCGUGUAUAUGGAUUAGCUCCCUUUUCAUAUAGUUAGUGAAAUACAUUAUAUUAACACAGUUCCCAAUUAAAAAUGUGAUAAUUUGAGCAUGAAUUUAAAGCUUUUGUUGUGAAUGGCUUGAGUUUCUUGGAGGUAUUACAAAAGGUAGAUUAGCUUAUGCAUCACAUCUUAAAGAUGGCGCAGCUUGAGAAUGGUUCAAUGUUGCAGCAGUAAGUCACCUUCAGUUCUUACUACACACAAAAUGUCAUUUACUCUAUCUCUCUCAUCUACAUAUACCCUUGAAUUUAAGCAAAGAAACUUGUAUAUAAAUGAAUAGUUGUUGUUCCUUAUUGACCGGAAGAAAGAUUAAUUUUUUUUUUAGCUUUUUUACAUUUUAAUGAUUACUAUUCAUGAAAUCUCAAGCAUGACUUAAGCCCACAGACAGUACUUUGCUACACUGUACGAUAAGGGGUUAAUUUGGUUUAUGGGUAGGUAUUAAAGAACAGUUUAAGACAAGAAUUAAACAAUUAAAAAUUAUGUUAGGUGAAGUAAAGAUCACGAGGUAAAGAGUUUAAAAAGAUAUUAGAAAUAUUAAAUUUUUUUUAAAAGAUUUACAUGAGAUCUGAAGGCAAGUACCAUUAUUGCAAGAAGGCAAUAGAUUAAUAACUACUGCAAGUGUUCUUUUGCAUAAAUAUGGACUAAAAAUUAAAGAAUAAAAAGUCGAUUUUUCUUCUGCAUGUCAUGGAUACAAGCAGUGUAAAUGCACAUGACAUGUUCAUAUGUGUUCUUUCAGAUAACAAAAAACAAACACCUGCCUGUUGGUCUCCUGAAUAUUUAGACCAAAGGAAAUAAAGUUUGGCAUUUU